ACCUAAAAGGUCAUAUAACUAUUGAUAAAUAAGAAUGAAAGAGAAAAAAAAAAACCCUGAUGAUCAAAGGGAGGGAACAGAUUCACAGAUUACGGCAGAGAUCAGAGAUCCCAUGAGGAAGCCGUUAUUAUUCAUUCAUGCUAACAAGGAAUCUGAUGCUCCGAGUGUUUAAGUGACCUGUCUGAGGUUAAUACAUGAGCAAAACAAGUACAAAGCAGAACAUGAUGAAAGUGAAAAGGAAGUGGAAAAAGGAGCUUUUGAUGAGCAAAUCGAGAAGUCCAAAUGGAUAUUGAGCAAUCCAGACUGGCUGCCAUGGUUUCCUGUGACACAUGAAUUGAGCUGGUUGUUCAGAUACACAGAAAAGAGAGAUCCUAGGAAAUAAAAGGCUCUCCAAUUUCUCUGCACCCCAGCAUGCUGCAAAAACCUCUGCGUGGAGUGUGUAGGCAAAUGGGCUUGAAGCAGCCUUCUAGAAUCUCCAUGUGCCUCUGCAGAGCGUAGGGAACAGCAGAAAUAUUUCUGAGUGGCAGAGAGCAGUAUGGCCAUGGCAAAGAGAUGAAAAGAAACUGCAAAUGUUUUGUUUUCAAGAGAAGGAGGCUGUGACAGUGAUGUGCAUGAACUGAAGACGGAUUACCUGGGAACACAAACACCUCAGCUGAUUGCAAGAUGGUGGUGAUGGAAGUCAUGUAAUAAAAAGAUCUCUCACCAUAGUUCCUGGCAGCCAUAGUAGUUUCAACAUCAUUUCCUCCUGUGUAAUACCUACCAGAAUUCCAGAUAUCAGAAGUUUAAAUGUUACAGGAUUGUAACUGAAACUCUGAUAAGUGAGAUUUUCAACCAUUUUAAUCUUCUCACGAUGACUUUACAC